UACGUAGGGUGCGAGCGUUGUCCGGAAUUAUUGGGCGUAAAGGGCUCGUAGGCGGUUUGUCGCGUCGGGAGUGAAAUCCACUGGCUUAACUGGUGGCUUGCUUUCGAUACGGGCAGACUGGAGGUAUGCAGGGGAGAACGGAAUUCCUGGUGUAGCGGUGAAAUGCGCAGAUAUCAGGAGGAACACCGGUGGCGAAGGCGAGUCUCUGGACGACUCCUGACACUGAGGCACGGAAAGCUAGGGGAGCAAACAGG
rnacentral:rRNA from 1 species